rnacentral:rRNA from 1 species
CUCGUAGGCGGUUAGUCACGUCGGAUGUGAAAUCCCAAGGCUUAACCUUGGGCCUGCAUUCGAUACGGGCUGACUAGAGUGUUGUAGGGGAGACUGGAACUCCUGGUGUAGCGGUGAAAUGCGCAGAUAUCAGGAAGAACACCGGUGGCGAAGGCGGGUCUCUGGGCAACUACUGACGCUGAGGAGCGAAAGCGUGGGGAGCAAACA